AUUCCGGUUGAUCCUGGCGGAGGACAUUGGUAUUGGGAUUCGAUUUAGCCAUGCUAGUCGAGCGAGUUCAGAUUCGCGGCGAAUAGCUCAGUAACACGUGGCCAAGCUCCCCCUUCAGUCAGCGAUACCCUCGGGAAACUGAGGUUAACAGCUGAUACAAAACGCCCAGCUGGAAUGCGGCGUUUCAGAAAGACAUCGCUCAAGGAUGCGGCUGCGGCCGAUUAGGUAGACGGUGGGGUAACGGCCCACCGUGCCAGUAAUCGGUACGGGUGAUGAGAGUCAGAGCCCGGAGACGCAAUCUGACACAAGAUUCCGGGCCCUAUGGGGGGCAGCAGGCGCGAAACCUUUACACUGCACGCA
rnacentral:rRNA from 1 species